rnacentral:rRNA from 1 species
UACGGAGGGUGCAAGCAUUAAUCGGAUUUAUUGGGCGUAAAGGGCGCGUAGGCGGCCUGUUAAGUCGAACGUGAAAUCCCCGGGCUCAACCCGGGAACUGCGUCCGAUACUGGCAGGCUUGAAUCCGGGAGAGGGAUGCGGAAUUCCAGGUGUAGCGGUGAAAUGCGUAGAUAUCUGGAGGAACACCGGUGGCGAAGGCGGGUCUCUGGGCCGAUACUGACGCUGAGGAGCGAAAGCGUGGGGAGCGAACAGG